CAGAAUACCUACCGUUGUGAGGUUCACAUUCCAGAUAAUGUACACACAAUUUUUAUCAAAUAAAGAAGUGAAGCAUAUUUCAUGUUAGAUGGUGAUCCGAUCUACGGAGCUCUGCAGAGCUAGUGAUGAAGUACAGAGUGCCAGUAUGGCAUUUUAGGGACGUCAGGGCAGCCCUCCUCACUGACCGGAAGACACUUCAGCAGAGGCCGGAAGUAGAGCGAGGAGGGCGCCAUAUUGUUCUCCACGGCGAGAGGGUUCCAAGGCAAACGCGCCACAGCGGAAGCGUGCUCGGUGGGCUCGAAGGACGGCGAGGAGGCGGCGUGGACUGGCGCAGAGCAAGCGCUCCAGUCUCGGUUAUUCAGUCUUGCCUAUCAUGCUGCGCUUGGUGUUGGCCCUAGGGCUUGGGCUCCCGUUCUCCAUCAACAGUAGAUAAGGAGAUUGCAGCCCCGGAGGUCAGCGGCGGGGAGAGAUCGAAACUCCUGCGAUAUGAACAGUGGCUCCUGGGACGUGGCGGAGUAAAACAGGAGCGAGGCCGAGGCAGAUGAACAAUGAGGAGAUACAGGGCAGGGGCCAGGUCCCAACAGCAGCCCCCAGAGGGCAUUCCCGCCUUGGCCACCACCCCUUAACCAGUGACACGCGUCCUUGCCAGAGCCAGCCUUAGCCCUUAGCUUCUCGUGUAUUCGUGGUCCUAAGGAGACCACGUCACUCUACCUGCCUCUCUGCCCCUUCUGUAGCACGAAUGAUAACACCUUGCUUUGUUUCGCUGUAA